GGGCGCUUAGCUCAGCCUGGACAGAGUGACUGGCUUCGGACCAGUUUGUCGGGGGUUCGAAUCCCUCAGCGCCCG
rnacentral:tRNA from 2 species